AGUGAACGCUGGCGGCGUGCCUAAUACAUGCAAGUCGAACGGAGUGGCGCACGGGUGAGUAAUAUAUAGCUAAUCUGCCCCUUGCUGGAGGACAACAGUUAGAAAUGAAUGCUAAUACUCCAUAGCAAGGGAUGAGACUAUAUCGUAUCAGCUAGUCGGUUGGGUCACGGCCUACCGAGGCGAUGACGCGUAACUGGUCUGAGAGGAGGCUCAGUCAGAUUGGAACUGAGACACGGUCCAAACUCCUACGGGAGGAAGCAGUAGGGAAUAUUGCGCCAUGGGUGAAACCCUGACGAAGCAACGCCGCGUGGAGGAUGACACUUUUCGGAGCGUAACCUCCUUUGGUUAGGGAAGCGGUACCUAACGAAUAAGCACCGGCUAACUCCGUGCCAGCAGCCGCGGUAAUUC
rnacentral:rRNA from 1 species